rnacentral:rRNA from 1 species
GACGAACGCUGGCGGCGUGCCUAAUACAUGCAAGUUGAGCGCUGAAGGUUGGUACUUGUACCAACUGGAUGAGCAGCGAACGGGUGAGUAACGCGUGGGGAAUCUGCCUUUGAGCGGGGGACAACAUUUGGAAACGAAUGCUAAUACCGCAUAAAAACUUUAAACACAAGUUUUAAGUUUGAAAGAUGCAAUUGCAUCACUCAAAGAUGAUCCCGCGUUGUAUUAGCUAGUUGGUGAGGUAAAGGCUCACCAAGGCGAUGAUACAUAGCCGACCUGAGAGGGUGAUCGGCCACAUUGGGACUGAGACACGGCCCAAACUCCUACGGGAGGCAGCAGUAGGGAAUCUGGACAAUGGGCGCAAGCCUGAUCCAGCCAUACCGCGUGGGUGAAGAAGGCCUUCGGGUUGUAAAGCCCUUUUGUUGGGAAAGAAAAGCAGCAGGUUAAUACCCCGCUGUUCUGACGGUACCCAAAGAAUAAGCACCGGCUAACUUCGUG